CUUCUACUCUACUCUGGUGAGACCCCACCUGGAGUACUGCAUCCAGCUCUGGAACUCCCAGCAUGAGAAGGAUGUGGAUCUGUUGGAGUGGGUCCAGAAGAGGGCCAUAAAAAUGUGAAAACUUUGGAAGGAAAAAUGGAUUUAGUAUCAUUUCAUAUGGAAGCAAUGAUCUUCAACUUCUGUGAUGCAUUUUCAGCUCUAUGGGAUCACUUUUCUGAGAGGUGCCUUUUGCUUUCCCAUGUCAAAUUUUUAUGAAGUAUGUUUGAUGAAAUCAGUGACAUUGGUUAUAUUCAAG